GAAGGGUAGCGAAGAGGCUAAACGCGGCGGACUGUAAAUCCGCUCCUUCGGGUUCGGGGGUUCGAAUCCNACGC
rnacentral:tRNA from 1 species